rnacentral:rRNA from 1 species
UACAGAGGGUGCGAGCGUUGUCCGGAAUCACUGGGCGUAAAGGGCGCGUAGGCGGCGCGGUAAGCGUGCGGUGAAAGCCCGGGGCUCAACCCCGGGUCGGCCGUGCGGACUGCCGGGCUGGAGCACUGUAGAGGCAGGUGGAAUUCCGGGUGUAGCGGUGGAAUGCGUAGAUAUCGGGAGGAACACCAGUGGCGAAAGCGGCUACCUGGCCCAUUCUUGACGCUGAGGCGCGAAAGCUAGGGGAGCAAACGGG